AGGGGCGAUCAGAAAACUCCCUUUCAAACCCUAACUCUUGCAAAAACUCACAAUUGAAGGCUCCAAUCAAGUCCAAAUCGAAACCUAUAUGUAGAUUAGUGAUCACCUCCUUGAAGGGAUCAUAAGGCAAGGAAUCCGGAUCGUCGAGUGGAUAAGCCGGAGGAGAUACGCGUUUGAAGGGUGCGCUUUAAAGGUGAAGAUGGACUUAAUCCGGAUGGCGAUCAAGCGACUCUCAAGAACCGAACGCACUAAACAAAGCUUCUGCAUUGAUCUAUUUUGUUUCAGUAAUAUGUAAACACUUGAAUUUACGUUUGAAAGUUUAUCUAGUAGGAUGAUGACUUGAAUAUUUUGAUCAAGUAUGAUCUUAAAAGCAAGAAAGUUUUUGUA